UCUGAAAUGUCAGUACUGUCCUC
rnacentral:siRNA from 1 species